UUCUCUCCCCCUUCUCUCUCUCAUCUCUCUCUCUCUGUCUCUCCCCAUCUCUCUCUUUCCCUCCCUCUAACUCUCUCUCUCUCUCAAUUCAAUUCAGACUUUUUCCACAUUUUGUUAAGUUACAGCUUUGUUCUAAAAUGGAUUAAACUGUUUUUUUUUGUUCCCCUCAUCAAUCUACACACAAUACCCCAUAAUGACAAAGCAAAAACAGGUUUUUAUACAUUUUUUAUAAAUCAUUUAUUAUUUAUUAUAAACAUUUAUUAUAAAUAAAAAAUGAAAUUUUACAUUUACAUAAGUAUCCAGACCCUUUACUCAGUACUUUGUUGAAGCACCUUCGGCAGCAAUUACAGCAUUGAGUCUUCUUAGGUAUGAUGCUACAAGCAUGGCACACAUGGGGAGUUUCUCAAAUUCUUCUCUGCAGAUCCUCUCAAGUUCUGUCAGGUUGGAUGGGGAGCGUCGCUGCACAGCUAUUUUUAGGUCUCUCCAGAGAUGUUCAAUCAGGUUCAAGUCCGGGCUCUGGCUGGGCCACUCAUGGACAUUCAGAGACUUAUCCCGAAGCUACUCCUGCAUUGUCUUGGCUGUGUGCUUAGGGUCAAUGUCCUGUUGGAGGGUGACCUUUGCCCCAGUCUGAAGUCCCUAGCACUCACAGGUUUUCAUCAAGGAUCUCUCUGUACUUUGCUCCUUUCAUCUUUCCCUCGAUCCUGACUAGUCUCCCAGUCCUUGCUGCUGAAAAACAUCCCCACAGCAUGAUACUGCCACCACCAUGCUUCAUCGUAGGGAUGGUGCAGGUUUCCUCCAGAACAUGGUUUCAUCAGAGCAGAGAAUCUUGUUUCUCAUGGUCUGAGAGUCUUAUGGUACUUUUUGGAAAAUUCCAAGCGGGCUGUCAUGUAAAUGUGCCUUUUACUGAGGAGUGGCUGCCGCCUGGCCAAUCUAACAUAAAUGCCUGAUUGGUGGAGUACUACAGAGAUGGUUCUCCACAGAGGAACUCUAGAGCUCUGUCAGAGUGACCAUCAGGUUCUUGUUCACCUCCUUGACCAAGGCCCUUCUCCCCUGAAUGCUCAGUUUGGCCGUGCGGCCAGCUCUAGGAAGAGUCUUGGUGGUUCCAAACUUCUUCCAUUUAAGAACUAUGGAGCCCACUGUGUUCUUGGGGAUCAUCAAUGCUGGCAACAUUUUUUGGUACCGUUCCGCAGAUCUGUGCCUCGACACAAUCUUGUCUCGGAGCUCUACAGACAAUUCCUUGGACCUCAUGGCUUGGUAUUUGCUCUGACAUGCAAUGUCAACUGUGGGACCUUAUAUAAUCAAAGGGACCAAUCAAGUUGUAGAAACAUCUCAAGGAUGAUCAAUGGGGUGGCAGAGUAGCCUAGUGAUUAGCGCGUUGGACUAGUAACCGGAAGGUUGCAAGUUCAAACCCCCGAGCUGACAAAGUACAAAUCUGUCAUUCUGCCCUUGAACAGGCAGUUAACCCACUGUUCCUAGGCUGUCAUUGAAAAUAAGAAUUUGUUCUUAACUGACUUACCUAGUUAAAUAAAGGUAAAAUAAAUUUAAAAAACAGGAUGCACCUGAGCUCAAUUUCAAGUCUCAUUGCAAAGGGUCUGAAUAUAACCAAAUAAGUUUGGUUUUUGUUCUUCGUUUUGUCUGCAUUUAAUAAACAGAACAUGUACGCUUACCAUGCUGCACCUUGGUCCUUCAGCCAGCUGUGACAGUCUGCUGUUAAUGCAGAGGAUUUUCCCAAAGUUGCUUUCCCUCUCUGUCUCUCUCUCUCCCCCCACCCCCCCAUGUGGUACCUGUAGCUAGCAUAUGGUAUUAUGCCAAUAAUACACAACAUGUAUAUGGUAUAACAACAAGACACCAUGUCAACAUAAUAUAACAAUACUUUAUGUUUUUAUUCAGCAUCUUAUGUCUGUCAUAUGUCAUAUAUCUCCCCAUGAUUAUGUCUUGAUGUGUUAUUGUAAAUGCCAUUCAUAAAAAAAUACAUUAAAACAUACUCAGGGUCAUGCUACAGACACAUUACAGAUAGGGAUAAUAUAGGUUCAUUAUUACUCCCUGGGUUAAUAUAGUUUCAUUACUCCCUGGGAUAAUAUAGUUUAAUUACUCCCUGGGAUAAUAUAGGUUCCAAGGACUAGUGCCUCCUUACUCCUCAGCAUUUCAAUUGGUGUGUGUGUGUGUGUGUGUGUGUGUGUGUGUGUGUGUGUGUGUGAGUGAGUGGCGGUGGCUGCAGACAUCUGGCCAGACAGAGGACCCUCUGUUCCCUAUAUGUUUUCCUUGGGGGCUCAAGGCUGAAACCUUGGUCUACCACCUAUCUCUCAUCAUGUGAACACAACACUGUUGUGAGGCUUGAGAUGAGAGACUUUUAAAUCAUCAAGGUCUAUGUCUGUUGGUGUAGUGUGUGUGUAUCACUGUAGGUUAUAUACCAAAGUAUGUUAAGACAGGGAUAUUAUCCAUAUUAUGACAGUGUUGUGUACACAUUAUGACAGGUAAUGGGAUAUGAAAAGAUAGUAGUAGUUUAUUCAGGUUGCGUCCUUCCCCUACAUCUCCUACAGUCUCUAGUCUAUUGGUGGUAAAUCUCUCUCACAAUUCUGUCAACAUGGUACUUGCCAGUUAUUUGCUACAGCAAUGUGUGUGGUCCUUUUAAUAAUUCAAUUGGUAACUAGCUAACAAAUGGUUUAAAAAAAGCUAUUGUCUUUUCUAUAAUAGCCUGAGAGAGAAUUGAAUAUCAGCUUUGAGAAUAUAAUUCCUAUCAGAGAUACACACUGCUGGGCUGGUGUAGGAGUGACUGUUAUGAAAACACCAUGGGACCCUUUGUGGAUAGAGCACGGUUCGCGCACACACACACACACACACACACACACACACACACACACACACACACACACACACACACACACACACACACACACACACACACACACACACACACACACACACACACACACACACACACACGGGACAUAGAUGAUGUCUAAAUGGAAGUUCAUCUGUAUCUGCUUCCUAUCGCUCCUCUGUCACAGACUGCCCUCUCUAUCUGCCAGACCAGAGGUGUUGACAAACACCAUGUUCUCCUGUUCACCACUCUAUCUACCCCCUCCACCCCCCUGCCCCAACCUGUGGCCAGAGUCCUCCUGGGAACCAAGCAUCUCCACCCAGCGCCCUAUCAGAUUGUUGACAUAUAGAGAUACACUCGCAAUGAAAAUAUUUUUCUUCCCCGAACACUGAUAUUGGCCUACAUGCUAUUUAUCCCCUUUGGGAGAGCUUCUGUCUGUAUGUGUAUGUGUGUGUGUGUGUGUGUGUGUGUGUGUGUGCACGCGCGCAUGUGUGUGUGUGUGUGUGUAUGUGUGUGCGCGCGCAUGUGUGUGUGUGUGUGUGUGCGCGCGCGCAUGUGUGUGUGUGUGUGUGUGUGUGUGCGCGCGCGCAUGUGUGUGUGUGUGUGUGUGUGAAUGUUGAAGUCGGAAGUUUAUAUACACUUUAGCUUAAUACAUUUAAACUCUGUUUUUCACAAUUCCUGACUCAGAGAAUGACAGACAGACAAAAAUGUUUUUUCUGAGGUCUUGGCUGAUUUCUUUUGAUUUUCCCAUGAUGUCAAGCAAAGAGGCACUGAGUUUGAAGGUAGGCCUUGAAAUACAUCCACAAGUACACCUCCAAUGGACACAUAUGAUAUGAAUUAGCCUAUCAGAAGCUUCUAAAGCCAUGACAUACAUUUCUGGAAUUUUCCAAGCUGUUCAAAGGCACAGUCAACUUGGUGUAUGUAAUCUUCUGACCCACUGGAAUUGUGAUACAGUGAAUUAUAAGUGAAAUAAUCUGUCUGUAAACAAUUGUUGGAAAAAUGACUUGUGUCAUUCACAAAGUAGAUGUCCUAACCGACUUGCCAAAACUAUAGUUUGUUAACAAGACAUUUGUGGAGUGGUUGAAAAUAAGUUUUAAUGACUCCAACCUAAGUGUAUGUAAACUUCCGACUUCAACUGUAUGUAUGCAUGCAUGUGUGUGUGUGCUGACAUUUGCACUAAAUGUCUGCCACUGGCAUUCCUUGCCUAUUUCUCACUACGAGGGAGGUUGUCAAGGAGAGGGGGGCAGCUUGAGGGUGGACAGGGUCAGUUCAGGGAAUGAGUUAGACUGAGGGUAGAUAAGGUCAGUUGAGGGUAUGAAGCAAGAGGACAGAGGCUCAUUGUGGGGGAGGAGGGGGGAGUAAUGGGAUAGGGCAGGGUGCAUCUAAGCAUGCAAUGUGUAGUGUCCAUAGAGGCUAGCAUAGGCACAUUGUUGAUUAAUGCAGUAAGACAGAAUGUCAAUAGGUCAGAGAUAGAUGGACAGUAGGGAACCAAUGUAUACGAGUAGACGAGAACAGGACUCACUCACACAUCCCCCGUCAUGCCGGCUGGAACAUAGGGCAGCAACAAAGGCUCUCCCCUUCUGUCUGUCUCUGGCCAUCUUCUCCACCGUGCCCCAGCUCUGCUGAUGUUGUUGGAGCUCUGCCUCCAUUUUUCUCCACCACCAUGUCUUGGGGCCGACCCUCUGGAGUCCAAUGUUCAGCUAUUCUUGGGAUGGAGGCUGUAGUAAGAGAAGAGCAGAAAACAGUAAAAGGGAAUGGUUCUGGGAGCAAUACAAACCACAAUGUGGCAUGUUGGGGUAAAAAGUGAGGGGACUGAAGGUGAUGGUAGCUAUGAUUCCUGUCUGAAGACCUAAAAGGCUAAGUCACUUCCUCAAACCCCCCUAUACUGCCUGGUUGCUACCCCAAAGGAACCCAGUGAAAACAAUCAUUCGUUUAGGACCGCCCAGGACCCCAGUGGACAUUUAUGUCUGUGGAAUUGCAUGAUUAUUUUUACCCAACACAGGAAGGAACCCUUUGAUAAUAAACCGUGUGUGUGGGGUGAUGACAGAUCUCAUUAACCCUUUUAUGAACGAGAGGAGCGCUGGAACGGAGAGACGGGGGGUGUGUGUGUGAUGUGAACGUGUGCCUAGAUGACGCCACAAGAGUUGCCCCCGACCUUGGGGAUCACACACACACACCUAAACAUACAUCCAGCAUAGACCAGCCUCCUUUCACUUACAGUACAUCCAAGAGGGAUUGACUUCCAAUAUACAGGUACAGAAUAUUCCUCAAUUAAAAUAUUUGUAUUAAUUAAUUCAAAAGUCAUUAGAUAUUUACAUAUUACAGUAUAUGACCAUGGUUUGUAGUAUGUGUUGAAUGCAAUGUGGGUAAUAAUAAACUUGAACUGGAAAACCUCUGAAAAACACUGGGCAGGGUCAUAGGGGACCAAACCACAGCAUCUAGAAAGCAGAGCCACAUGGGCUGGCUAAAGUCUACCUGCUAUUACCUUGCCAGCUACAUCAACUCUAAAUCAAAUCAAAUUUUAUUUGUCACAUACACAUGGUUAGCAGAUGUUAAUGCGAGUGUAACAAAAUGCUUGUGCUUCUAGUUCUGACCAUGCAGUAAUAUCUAACAAGUAAUCUAACCUAAUCAUUUCACAACAGCUACCUUAUACACACACAAGUGUAAAGGGAUGAAGAAUAUGUACAUAAAGAUAUAUGAAUGAGAG
ensembl:lncRNA